GGCGGUGCUCCCGGGGGUUGGUGCUGGGUCUGGUUGUGAAAGGUAGAUUGUGUUUUUGCUGUAGAAGCUUUGAGUAUUUUCUGUAUGUAGUACUGGCUUUACUGAACUUACAGCCCUCUUGUGAAAGAGCUGUUUGCCUUCUGCUAAGAAAGUUGCUGAGCAGAGUUAAAAAGUUAAAGAUUCGGGGUGUUCUGAUUGGGGUGGAAUUGAGGUGGGAAAGAAAGACCAUAUAAAGGGAAAUUGCAUGUACCCGCUCUCUGUUUCACGCUUUCCACGAGGUUCGUGAAUGCAGAAUGAAGCUGUACUUGCUAAACGUUGUGCUGUUUUUUUGCUGUUGCCGAAGUGGGGCAGUGACCUGGGAGUACUACAUCGGGAUUAUAGAGACAGCAUGGGACUGUGCUCCUGGUAGUACUGAUAUCAUAUCUGGACAACGUUUUGCAGAAGAAGAUGCUUUUAAAAUGAAGUAGAACUAUACUAAAUGAAGAGUGAAGAAGUAUAUCACUAAUAAGAAGAGUCUUCUCCUUGCUGACUGUGAAGUCAACGUAACAUGAUACUUGUUGGUUUUAACUGGCUUUGGAAGAUUAUGCAGAACUUGAAGCACGUACAAAAAUGUUGAGCAGGAAGACCUGUUGUUUGACUUAUAAGCAGCAGAAAAUUGUGUCAAGUAUCCUUAUCUUCAGUCUACAAAAUAGGCAAGCUGAAGUCUUCCUUAAAAGAGGACCGCAAAGGAUAGGAAGCAUUUCUAAGAAGGCUGUCUACCCUCAGUACACUGAUGUUUUAUAUGAUGUGAUAGUUGAGAAACCUUCCUGGCUGGGUGUUUUAGGCCCUAUCAUUAAAGGAGAAGUUGGUGAUUCCAUUGUUGUUCACUUGAAAAACUUUGCUUCCAGAAACUACACACUGCAUCCACAUGGUGUAAAAUAUACAAAGGAAAACGAAGGUAAGCUUGAGUCCACUGCUUGAGUCCAAGUCAGAAUUUAACAAAAGCUUUUGUCAUCAAAGAUACAACUGCCUAAGCGAAUUAUCUUCUGAAACAAGACACACUCAGUUUAAAAUAGGAGCUGAUUAAGAACUUCUGGUAUUUGUUCAAGAGUGAAAUACUGAGCCAAAAGUGGGGUUCGUGUAGAAGGCAAUUUUAGAUCAACGUUCCAUCUGAAAUAAGGGUGAUGUAGGGAUGUCUGAAGGAAAAAAAACCGAUGCUGUUGUUAAGAAAAUACUGUUUGUAUAAGUUAUAACUCUUAACGGUAUUAAGAAUUCUGAAUUAUACACAAGAUAUAAGAUACACAAGUUCCUUAAAACAGGCAAAUGCCUUCAGCUUAGAUAAAUUAGCCAUCACGCUUUCAGAUGUACUGUAACAAUGCUACUGGUAUUAGUGAAGACAAUAGUUGUUGGCAAUAGGGGAGACUUUCAAGCUGUGAAACACUGCUGCAGUUUCACUUAAAUUAGUGGAGUCCUUGCAUAUUGACAGGCAGAAGAGUCGCCUUCUCUUCUGGACAAUCUAUGGAGUGUUUUUGUAGCAUCUUUUAUGCAUACAGCAACCCAUGAAUGUGCCAUCUGUCAGAAAGAGCAGUGUGUCCCUCCUGAGGAAAUACUGUGAUUCCAGUUUCCUCCUUGAAAACUACUGAAUGUAGUAUGAUGACAUCUAAACCUGAGGCUGUAGCCUGACAAUUCACUCUGCCAGAUGCACCUCACUGGGUAGUUUUCCAUACUAUUAUCUGCAAGAAAGACUGCACUGGAAUAUAGCCACUGGAAGUUUUAUUAAGAUGCCUUAAAAACUGUGUGAAUUAUUGAGUAGAUACUGUCAAAAGUAGUCUUUGAAAAUUUUUCAGUGGGGAAAAAAAUUGUGAAAUAUUAGUUUAACAUCUAAUAUUUUUAAAGGGUUUUCAUUACAUCAAAUAUGUGACUUGGCAUUGACGCCCUAU